CGCUCGCUUAAGAGGGAAAGAAGGGCGGUGCUCGACCUGCGGUGAUUGGCAGGCAGGAGUGGGGCGGGAAUAAAGCAGAUUCUGUGAGAGGUUAUUGGCUGAGAUGGCUGCGGGAAGCGGGAGGGGAGAAGAAUCGGCCGGGGAUUCGUGGGAGUGGAGCGGAAGUCGGCUGCUGGCGCGGUUGAGCCGCGUGUGAAGAGGAAGGAGGAGCGUUUGUACCUUUGGCGUCUGUCAGCUGGUGAGCGUUGCCGGAAGUUUCUCGAAGGGGGCUCCUGGCCCCUCGGGCCCAGCGGCCUGGGAGAACGUUGUGAACGUUUAACUCACCCUUGAGGGGAGACGGUGGGGCCGAUACGCGGCGCGCUGAGUCCUGGGGCCGGGAGUCGGGCCUGGUUCGAAUCCAGUUCUUACACCCUCGGGAGCCUCUGGGGAGGUUUCAUGUGGACAGCGCUGUAAGUGGGAGUUCGAGUCCGGCCUUUGCCAGUCGCUAUCCGAGGCCACGUUUCCCUGCCCAUUGAACGGGGUCGUGAAAAUUGACUUUCCUAACUUAUGAUUACAUAAUACGUCUAGAAACUUCUCUCCACACUCCCAGGCGUAGGCCGGACCACCGUGGCCCCCAGCCUGGAAGACUCUAGGGACCUCCGCACUCACUGUGCUUCCACCAGCGGCAACAUACCUAAUUUUACACUUUUCUCUAGUAACCACGUUAAAAAAAAGUUUUAAAAAGUUAAAUUAAUUUUAAUAUACUAAAAUUAAUAUAGCCACAAUAUCAUUUCAACAUGUGAUCGGUAUAAAAAAAUACAACAGAGGUAUCUUACUUUUUGUUACUUAGUACUAAGGCUUUGAAAUCCUGUGUGUUUUACACUUUAUACCACAUCUGUGAUCCGGACCCUGCAUUUUCACCGGAAAUAGUUUAGGUUUCAUAAAAUUUACAGUUGAAAUGUAGAUUCACAUACCCAAGCUGUACCCAGCAUGCUUAAAAGUUUCCCAUGAGCUCAGUCUUCUGUCGGUGUUAAAUUGAAAUGUUGAUUGAUGAAAGUUAAGCGACGGGAAUGUUCUGUUUCACAGCGGCACUAAGCCACAUGCAGGAGCUCGUGAUCCCCUGUGGCUUCUGUAUUGGACAGUGCAGAUCUGAAACAAAUUGGAUCAGUCACCCCCGCCCCACUUAAAAUAUGUAACUGCAAUCCUGGUUUUGGUGUUUAUUUUUCAGUGCAUGUUUGUAUAUCUUUAAUACGUGCCUUUAAACUAUGUAUAGUAUCGUAUGUCAUGUUCUACAACUUUAUACAAAAGAGUCAACUAUAGCAGGCCUGAGACUGCUCUCCUUAGAAAGGCCUGUUUGCAAGGUUGGCCCUUGGUUGGUGUCUAGGAACUUGGAUUUCAGGAGGGUUCACACCAUUCCCUAAAUAAUACAAGGGGCUCAUGGUGCCUAAACUGUACAAACAAUGUGAUUUGGUCGAACACCUGCUUUCCUUCUGGAGUCUGGAAGUUUGGUACUUGACCAGCUGCCCCACCCGCCCCCCACCCUAAUACCCUGGGCACUGUAUCUCUAAGGAGCUUUCCUGGUGGACAACAUUUCACACGUGUUGUCACAGCUCUGCUAUAGGAACUAAGCAUGUCCUUUGUAACUCCACUGGGAGAGGACUCUUGGAAGCUUGUGCCUGGUUUCCUCCAGACUUCGCCCCAUGCACCUUUUCCCUUGGCUGAUUUUGCUUUUAUCCUUUCACUGUAAGAAAUCAUACCCUGGGGAAUUCCCUGGUGGUCCAGUGGUUAGGUCUCUGAGCUUCCACUUCAGGGGGCACAGGUUCAAUCCCUGGUUGGGGAACUAAGAUCCCACAUGCUGCAUGGUGUGGCCAAAAAAAAAAAAAAAAACAAAA